CCUCCUAAAGUGCUGGGAUUACAGGCGUGAGCCAUUGUGCCCAUCCCAACAGUGUAUUUUUAAUGAAUAUCAAAAUGAUAGUAAAACAAGGUUGAGUGAAAUUUCAACCUCUUAAUACUCAAAAACAUAUUUUAAAAACGGAGACAUUGGGUCAAUAUUAUACUCUUAACUAUGAUGUGUCAGAUCACUACAUUUGAUUUUUUUACAUAGAAGAAAAAAUAAUGUAAAAGUAUUACAUUCUUUUCUAGACAGUAAGCAACUUAUCUUCUCUGAUAUUUCUUUUAUAUUAAAACUCAAGUAUUCAUUUGACAAAUAUGUAUUGAAUGCUGACUUUAGGCCAGGUACAGUUUGAGGCUGUCAGGUUAAAUGAAAUAAUAGAAUAGAUAGUGACCCAUGCCCUUAUAAAAUUCAUUCUAUUGGGAAAUGAUGUUAUAUUACAUAUAUUUAUACAUAUGAAGUAUAUAUUAUGAAUAAUUAAAUUAUUUACAGGUUGGAAGAUGAUAAAUGCAAUGGUGAUGAAAUAUGUCAGAGUAAAGGAGAUUGUGAAUGCCGGAUUAGAGGUGAGUGUUGCAAUUUUAAAUAUGGAAGUAAUGAUAGUCACAUCGAGAUGAUCACUUUUAAGCCAAGACCUCAGGAAGAUGUGGGACUGAACAAUAUCAUUCUUUGGGAACAAAGAGGAAAGAGCUAGUAAUAAGGUUUUAAUGUGAGAUCCUGGACAGAGAGUGCAUUUAAGAAACCACAGGGAUCUAGCUGGAAUGGAAUGAGAAGAGUGAAUAAUAGAAUAUGCAAGUAGGUUGGUUAUGGAAAUGAAUAGAUUGUGCAAGAUCUGAUUGACUCUUACAAAAUUUGGCUUUUACUCUGUGUGAAAUGGGGACCACUGGAGAGUUCAGAGCAGAGAAGUAACAUAAUCUGACUUUUGUUUAAUAAGAUUGCCCUGUCUGAUCUGUCGAGAAUAUCCUGCAAAGAGGCAAGUGUAGAAUCAGAUCAUUUAGGAGGAUACUGCAAUAAUCUGAGAGGUGGUGGUGACUUAGAUGAAAGUGGUAUCAGUGGAAGCAGUGAGGUGUGGUCAGAUACUAGAUAUAUUUUGAAAGUGAAAUCAAUAGAAUUGGUGAAGAAUUGGAUAUAGAACAUGAAAGAGAGGAAUCAAGGAUGACUCGAUAUUUUUGCCUUGAGCAAACAGAAUUGCCAUUGACAGACUUGGGGAAAAGUGAAGGAAGAAUAGAUAUGUGGGAAAGGUUCUGGGUAUGUUGUUUUGAGAUAUCUACUAGGCAUCUGUAGAGGCCAAAGCAACUCCAUCUUGGAUGCUAAUCUGGCAAGCUGGCAAUGAUUAAUCCCUGUUCUGGGAGCCCUCUAAGAUUUCCAGUGUAUCCAUUGUUUGUUGUGUAAGAGCAGGUACUUAUCAUAAAUGUUGCCUGUAGGUCAAACAGCUGUGAUGCUAUCAUACUUCAAUUGUCCUGUACAUCCCUUCUGAACCACCCCUCCCCUACAGUAUAAAGGCCCUGGAUCUGGAGAGUAAUGGAAUAGGGAUCCACUGUCUGUGUUGUCUCAUCACCACUCAGGACACAGACAUGAGUUCUCUUUGUAACCCCUUAUUAAGACUUGUUUUCUAAAAAACUGGAUCUUUUAGCCUCUUUCUUUGGCCUCUCAACUUCCUUGGGCUUUGGGGCGGUUUGCACAGACCUGUCCACCAUGAACAGCAUCUAAGUGGAUUUGUUAGAAAUAAAGUGUACAUUUUAGUGUGGAAGCAAAAAGUUGGGAGUUGUCCUCUUGUGGAUGGUACUUAAAGCUAAAGAUUAGAUAAAUCACCAAAUGACUGAACACUGCUACAAAAGAAAAGAGUAUCAAGCACUGAGCCCUGGGCUAUUCCAACAUUAGGAAAUUGAGGAGAAGAUGAGGAACCAGUAAAGGAGGCCAGUGUGAGGUAGGAGUUCACCAAAUGAAAUGGUGUGUUUCAGGCCAUGGAAAAGGAAAGAGAGAGGAAGGUGGAGAAAGAAAGAGUUGAAAAACAUGAGAAUAUGAUGUCCCCAAAAUGACCACUGGAUUAAACAUCCUUGAAGCCAUAAGAGCAGUCUUGGUGGAGUGCUGGAGAUGAAAACUCUGUAGAAGUAGGAUAGAAGAGAAUAGGGUGAGACUAACUAGAGAAAAAGUGUAUACACAGCACCUUUGAAGAUUUGUUAUCCAAAAGGAAAUGUGAGUGAUUGGUCAGAGUGGUGGGAAAAACUAUAGGGAAAGGACGCAAACCUUCUGAAAGUUCAGAAGAUUCUGCAGAGCCCCGGGAAAGAAUAACUGAAGGCAGCUGUUCUAUAACCCUGAGGCAGAGGGCAAGGAGCAGGUACAAGGGAGUAUAGGGGGCUUUCUCUUAAACAGGUUCAUCUACUUAUGUUGACCUGGAACUGACCUUUGAUCAUCCACGCACCUGACGUUCCCUGAAAGGGGAACAAUAAAUGUUAAUUACCUACAGGUUGUUUUUGCUCCAGGUUUUCGGCAUUGAGCUUGCACUGAAUAAAAGCAAGCAGCUCCAGCUUCUCAGGGUUGCUCUCUGGCCACCAGAGCCAGGCUGUCACCUCGCUGUUCUUACAGUACAUACCUGUGUCUGAAUACUCAUUUCAUCCAUCUGCCAGCAUCUGCGGGACAGACCCGGCAGGUGGUGCCCCACGUGAGGAAUGCUGCAAUGGAUGGCGAUGAAACCCUCGAGAAUGAAAGUGAAGUGACUGCAAAUUUCUUACAGAAAAUGAAGUGAGUGUGAUGGGCACUGCUGAAGAAGUAAUCAAACAGAAGAUUUUCAAAACUUUUAUCUGCCGCAAACAUCCUUCUGCAAACAUCCUUCUAUCAUUCCACUCAGGUGGUGACUUCGUGGACAAAAAAAUGACUAAUACACAAUACCCAAAAUAAAUUAUAUCUCUUCCACUCCCAUUUCCCACAAGCUCCUUCCCACACAGACUUGUUUUAAGUGAAUGGAAAUAAAGCCAAAACAAUCUAGACUGCCAAGUUCCAUUGUGUAUAUAGUAGUCAUUUUCAGCCUAGGGUGACAUCCCAGCCUCCUCUCCCUGGCCCUCACCAAUGCCCCUGCCCUUUUAAUUACAGAAAGCAUUCUUCUUG